rnacentral:rRNA from 1 species
UACAGAGGUCUCAAGCGUUGUUCGGAUUCAUUGGGCGUAAAGGGUGCGUAGGCGGUGCGGUAAGUCGGGUGUGAAAUCUCGGAGCUUAACUCCGAAACUGCAUUCGAUACUGCCGUGCUUGAGGACUGGAGAGGAGACUGGAAUUUACGGUGUAGCGGUGAAAUGCGUAGAUAUCGUAAGGAAGACCAGUGGCGAAGGCGGGUCUCUGGACAGUUCCUGACGCUGAGGCACGAAGGCCAGGGGAGCAAACGGG